rnacentral:rRNA from 1 species
AUCAUGGCUCAGGACGAACGCUGGCGGCGUGCCUAAUACAUGCAAGUCGAACGCUCUUUUUCCACCGGAGCUUGCUCCAUCGGAAAAAGAGGAGUGGCGAACGGGUGAGUAACACGUGGGUAACCUGCCCAUCAGAAGGGGAUAACACUUGGAAACAGGUGCUAAUACCGUAUAACAAUCGAAACCGCAUGGUUUCGAUUUGAAAGGCGCUUUCGGGUGUCGCUGAUGGAUGGACCCGCGGUGCAUUAGCUAGUUGGUGAGGUAACGGCUCACCAAGGCGACGAUGCAUAGCCGACCUGAGAGGGUGAUCGGCCACAUUGGGACUGAGACACGGCCCAAACUCCUACGGGAGGCAGCAGUAGGGAAUCUUCGGCAAUGGACGAAAGUCUGACCGAGCAACGCCGCGUGAGUGAAGAAGGUUUUCGGAUCGUAAAACUCUGUUGUUAGAGAAGAACAAGGAUGAGAGUAACUGUUCAUCCCUGACGGUUCACGAAGCCCGA